rnacentral:lncRNA from 1 species
CAAGAAACAACUAAACCCAAAGCGACUCUAAUAAAGGCCAAGUCGGCUAGCCCGAGCAAGGCUAUGCUGAAAUAAAAUUAACAUCAAGGACUCAAAAGCAAAAAUAACCAAAUGAUUCAGUCCGAGACGGUCUAGUGGAUCCAACCGCAUCACUCCACCACGCUUCCCUUAACCUUGUCCUCAAGGUCGAAAGUCAGGAAAACGAUCAAGUAUCUCAGUC